UUUCCGUAGGUGAACCUGCGGAAGGAUCAUUCAUAAUAAGUGUUUUAUGGCACUUUUUUAAAUCCAUAUCCACCUUGUGUGCAAUGUCAGGGUUGAUUUUUCUCUCGAGAGGAUCAACCCCAAACAUCAACUAUAUCUCAACUCUUUGUCUGAAAAAUAUUAUGAAUAAAACAAUUCAAAAUACAACUUUCAACAACGGAUCUCUUGGCUCCC
rnacentral:misc_RNA from 1 species